AGGACUCCACUGCUUUGGCCUCAAGGAGUUUGGUCGACACUUGAAGACUGACCAAGAAAAAGUAAUUUGUCCCAGUUUUCUCCCACCCUUUGUUUUCUUCUGCUCCUCUUGGGCUUGUUUUUUUUUUGGGGGGGGGGGUUCUUUCUUUUUUCUUUUCUUUUUUUUUUUUUUUUCCCGCAGUAAGUUCUGAAAAUCGCCUCCCAGAGGAGAUAACGCGUUCUCCUCUGUAACCCGUCCUUCCACGUCCCGGUGGUGGGGGGGGGGGUCCCGGUUCUCAUUCUUUCGGGGACCUGCAAGGAGCCCCGCCCGCAGGCUUUGAACCGAUUUCGGCUCCGCGUCCAGGAGCAGGCCCUACGUAGGGCCGGGGGAAUUCAGGUGCGUCUGCGGGGCCCAGGGCACCCAGGGCAGGCGGGGACUGAGACGACUGAGGGUUGAGGGACAAGGAGGUUGGGACUGGGGAGGGGAGACCCGGGACCCGCCCAGAACGCUUUCGUGGGGUUGGAGAGGGCAGGACACAGCCUCUCUGGGCCCGGUAGUAUGCGAAGACACGCAUAACGCAAAAGGAUUCCCGUCCUGGACUUUGGGAAUUAAGGCCCUGAACACAUUGAGCAAAAAGUAGAUCUGUCUGUACAGACGUUUCUUUCCACGUCUUUCAUAGUAAGGACUUUAUUAAAAAGCAGGCACUCGAAUCCUAGGUGGGUAGAUGGGAGGCUGGGGCUGGGGAUGGGGACGUCCUCUGUUUUCUGGUUGUGCACAUUAAAAAUAACUCUCUGCUGCCUACUCCUAAACGCAGCCGGCAAAAAUGAGACGUCAACUAAGCGCCGUUUCAGUCCCAGAGCCAGGUCGUCCAUGGGGGUUUUCAAGCGUUUUCUCGAUGACUGAUUUUUCUAGAAGCGAAUGGAUUUUAUUCUCCCAGGUGUAAAGGCUACCUCCUGCUUCACACCCGGGUAACAUAAAAGACAGCGCUGGGACCGAAACUCGGGUCUCCUGGGUCCUGGUUGGCUGGAGAGAGGGGCAAUGAACGUCCCGAAAAGAAUUCUGUCUUUUCUCAAUAUCUGGGAGGACUCAUAACAGGGUAGAUAAUCAGGAUGGAUGUUUGGCAGGUGGGAAUCUUUGAGACGGUCUGUGCACACAAUUUUAACUCUACUUUUGCCAGUUUGGAGGACAUGAAAUUCCUGAUGAGUGUAUGUUAAAAGGGAAUAGAGAAGGUAAUAUACACAACGUUCUAAAAUAAUUGCUUUUCGUGGAGGCAAAGUGGCUAAGCAGUCCAAAGCGCUGGAUGAAGGCUCUAAUCUCUUGGGGUGUGGAGGUUCUAGCCUGUUUAGCCACAGAAGUCAUGAAACCACUAUGUGGUAUUUGUUAAAUAAUGAGUUUUGAUACUUAAAAUAAAAUGGAAUUAUUGGAGUGAA
rnacentral:lncRNA from 1 species